rnacentral:tRNA from 1 species
UGAGGAUGUAGUUCAGCGGUAAAGAGCUUACCUAUUGUAUGAGGUCCUGGGUUCAAUCCUCAGCACCACAA